AUACAAACACAGAUACCACGUGCAGCAAACACUUUCAACUAAACCAUUCAAACACAGAUACCACGAGCAACAAACGCUUUCAACUAAACCAUUCAAACACAGAUACCACGUGCAGCAAACACUUUCAACUAAACCAUUUAAACACUUGCAGCAAACACAAACAGAUACCACGUCCAGCAAACGCUUUCAGCUAAACCAUUCAAACACAGAUACCACGUGCAGCAAACGCUUUCAACUAA